UCCUAAGCCAUGCGAGUCAUUGUAGCAAUACAAGGCAGACGGCUCAGUAACGCGUAGUCAAUCUACCCUAUGGACGGGAAUAACCUCGGGAAACUGAGAAUAAUGCCCGAUAGAACAUUAUGCCUGGAAUGGUUUAUGUUUCAAAUGAUUUAUCGCCAUAGGAUGGGACUGCGGCCUAUCAGUUUGUUGGUGAGGUAAUGGCCCACCAAGACUAUUACAGGUACGGGCUCUGAGAGGAGUAGCCCGGAGAUGGGUACUGAGACACGGACCCAGGCCCUAUGGGGCGCAGCAGGCGAGAAAACUUUGCAAUGUGCGAAAGCACGACAAGGUUAAUCCGAGUGGUUUCUGCUAAAGAAACCUUUUGUCAGUCCUAGAAACACUAACGAAUAAGGGGUGGGCAAGUUCUGGUGUCAGCCGCCGCGGUAAAACCAGCACCUCAAGUGGUCAGGAUGAUUAUUGGGCCUAAAGCAUCCGUAGCUCGUUUUGUAAGUUUUCGGUUAAAUCCAUGCGCUUAACGUAUGGGCUGCCGGGAAUACUGCAUAACUAGGAAGUGGGAGAGGUAGACGGUACUCGGUAGGAAGGGGUAAAAUCCUUUGAUCUAUUGAUGACCACCUGUGGCGAAGGCGGUCUACCAGAACACGUUCGACGGUGAGGGAUGAAAGCUGGGGGAGCAAACCGGAUUAGAUACCCGGGUAGUCCCAGCUGUAAACUAUGCAAACUCAGUGAUGCAUUGGCUUGUGGCCAAUGCAGUGCUGCAGGGAAGCCGUUAAGUUUGCCGCCUGGGAAGUACGUACGCAAGUAUGAAACUUAAAGGAAUUGGCGGGGGAGCACCACAAGGGGUGAAGCCUGCGGUUCAAUUGGAGUCAACGCCAGAAAUCUUACCCGGAGAGACAGCAGAAUGAAGGUCAAGCUGAAGACUUUACCAGACAAGCUGAGAGGUGGUGCAUGGCCAU
rnacentral:rRNA from 1 species